UACGUAGGGUGCGAGCGUUAAUCGGAAUUACUGGGCGUAAAGCGUGCGCAGGCGGUUCGUUAAGUCAGCUGUGAAAGCCCCGGGCUCAACCUGGGAAUUGCGGUUGAAACUGGCGAACUAGAAUCUGGCAGAGGGGGGUGGAAUUCCACGUGUAGCAGUGAAAUGCGUAGAGAUGUGGAGAACACCGAUGGCGAAGGCAGCCCCCUGGGUCAAAACUGACGCUCAUGCACGAAAGCGUGGGGAGCAACAGGAU
rnacentral:rRNA from 1 species